CCUGCAAAAAUACUUUGAUGAAGGGUUGCGAUACAAAAAGAUAUCUUUGAAACGAAUGUCACGUAUUCUUUCACUCACAGUUUUUUCUCUUUUUACAUAAUAUAUCUCGUCUCUCUAUUUCC
rnacentral:ribozyme from 1 species